CGCCCCUUUAACUGCUAUAAAUCUAAAAACUUGGCGAUUUAAUUCAUAACAAAAUCUACUAUCAAAAGAUAAAAUACUUACGGAAAACUAUUAUUUUUUAAACCAAGUAAAAAUGUCGAUAGUUUUGCCAUUCACAGACAAUUUAGUCAGUGGUGAGAUAUUAGAUCAUGUCCCGAGUGGGGUAUUAACAGAGAUAGUGACAUCCAUGUGUUUUAAAAAAGGAUAUACAUUGAAUGUAUAUGACUGUCCAUUAGUAUUGAACACUAACAAUAACAAAUAUGAAGAAUUACCAAAGUGAAUAUGCAUCGCUUGAAAAUGAAAAAGAUGGACCAAACAUCUUGACAACAUUAUCUUCAAGUUCUGAACUACAAGCUGACGAGACAAGCUGCUGAGAUCAGCUGUAUGACUCCACUUCUCUCGAUGUUCAUUUAUGGUGAUAGACCAUGUUGUACCAACAAAUACUAAAGUUUCGCAUCUGUGUGACGUGAAGGAUGGGAUUGAUAUGGAAUGAUGAUAUAAUUUGAAGAAAUAUCUUUGAUGAGAAAGUGGAAGUUAGAUAAACAAUUGAAACAAUCGAACUCUUAUUGACAAUGACUGUGAACUUGUAUUGAAUACAUUGUGAUACGUUGAAAUCCUGGACUUGAAUAUAUAAAAGACUGAGCCUUUUUCGUGUGUUCUGUGACAUUUUAACGGGUAAUUCAUUUAAGAAGUGUUCAUUUUACUUAUUUACAUGUACCAUUUUGAUAAAUUUGUUAUAUUAUUUUACUAUAUUGUCGUUUUACAUAGUUAUUAAUUUGUUUAUUGUUAAAAUAAAA
rnacentral:lncRNA from 1 species